UGGGGAAUAUUGCACAAUGGGCGCAAGCCUGAUGCAGCCAUGCCGCGUGUAUGAAGAAGGCCUUCGGGUUGUAAAGUACUUUCAGCGGGGAGGAAGGGAGUAAAGUUAAUACCUUUGCUCAUUGACGUUACCCGCAGAAGAAGCACCGGCUAACUCCGUGCCAGCAGCCGCGGUAAUACGGAGGGUGCAAGCGUUAAUCGGAAUUACUGGGCGUAAAGCGCACGCAGGCGGUUUGUUGAGUCAGAUGUGAAAUCCCCGGGCUCAACCUCGGAACUGCAGCUGAUACUGGCAAGCUUGAGUCUCGUAGAGGGGGGUAGAAGUCCAGGUGUAGCGGUGAAAUGCGUAGAGAUCUGGAGGAAUACCGGUGGCGAAGGCGGCCCCCUGGACGAAGACUGACGCUCAGGUGCGAAAGCGUGGGGAGCAAACAGG
rnacentral:rRNA from 1 species